UGGGGAAUAUUGCACAAUGGGCGAAAGCCUGAUGCAGCAACGCCGCGUGAAGGAAGACGGUUUUCGGAUUGUAAACUUCUGUUCUUAGUGAAGAAUAAUGACGGUAACUAAGGAGCAAGCCACGGCUAACUACGUGCCAGCAGCCGCGGUAAUACGUAGGUGGCAAGCGUUGUCCGGAAUUACUGGGUGUAAAGGGAGCGUAGGCGGGAAGCCAAGUCAGCUGUGAAAACUACGGGCUUAACCUGUAGACUGCAGUUGAAACUGGCUUUCUUGAGUGAAGUAGAGGUUGGCGGAAUUCCGAGU
rnacentral:rRNA from 1 species